rnacentral:rRNA from 1 species
UACGUAGGGGGCAAGCGUUGUCCGGAUUUAUUGGGCGUAAAGAGCGUGUAGGCGGCCAAACAGGUCAGCUGUGAAAACUCGAGGCUCAACCUCGAGACGUCGGUUGAAACCGUUUGGCUAGAGUCCGGAAGAGGAGAGUGGAAUUCCCGGUGUAGCGGUGAAAUGCGCAGAUAUCGGGAAGAACACCCGUGGCGAAGGCGGCUCUCUGGGACGGUACUGACGCUGGGACGCGAAAGCGUGGGGAGCGAACAGG